UCGAGAAUCUUUAGCAAUGGGCGAAAGCCUGACUAUGCGACACCGCGUGAGGGACGAAGGUCUUCGGAUCGUAAACCUCUUUCGGCAGGGAAGAAACUACUUGACAAAAUAUGUCAAGAACUGACGGUACCUGCAGAAGAAGCAACGGCCAACUCCGUGCCAGCAGCCGCGGUAAUACGGAGGUUGCAAGCGUUACUCGGAUUCAUUGGGUGUAAAGGGCAGGUAGGUGGCCUGACAAGUGAGAGGUGAAAUCCCGCUACUCAAUAGCGGAACUGCCUUUCAAACUAUCGGGCUUGAGGUUGGGAGAAGAGAAUGGAAUUCCCGGUGUAAGGGUGAAAUCUGUAGAUAUCGGGAAGAACACCAGUGGCGAAAGCGAUUCUCUAGUCCAAUCCUGACACUGAUCUGCGAAAGCUAGGGGAGCAAACAGG
rnacentral:rRNA from 1 species